CUUUAUUAUUUAAUAUAAAAAAACCACCUUCUCCAACUUUUGUACACUGCGCUGGAGUAUGGAGAUUACGUUUUCGAUCAGAGAAUGUACCGGGGUUAAUAUAAAGUGCAUAUCGCUUGAUAUCGACAGGUUUAAAUAUAACUUCAUACGGAUGAAUGCUUAUGUGAAACUUAUACGGUACCAAUUUUUAAUUUUUAUAAGGUUUCAAGUUUUUCUCAUUCGCUGUCAACACCACAUAACCCGGAGGGUUUACCCUCCCAGUGAUUAAUUGUAUGCAUCUAAACGAUUUUAAUUUUUUUUUUAAAUUUUGAUUGCAAAUAAAUAAGGACGUUUUUAAAACCUGCUUUUCCGGUCAUUUUCCCAUGUUAACCUGGAAGAAUGCAAUAUUAUAUAGCAUCCUAUGUGUACGUGAUACACCAGACUAAAGAAAUAAAACAUGCGUUAACUGAUAAAAUGAAAUACGAAUAAAUCAAAAUCAGAGGAAAUCCCUCAAUGAAACAAAAACUGAAACCAGAAAAACCAUGUCAGUAGAACUAGAGUGUUUACCGUGCAAUGGUUUGGUUACAAGACGCCUUUCUGUGAGACACACGGACUUGGAUAUCCUUGAAAAAUGUCUACAAUCACAGGGUAAUGUACAUAACACCUCCAUCCCUCAGCCCCAGUUAUGUGAAAUGUCGAUCAGCUGCAUGACAUAUCCAUUGUUGUCAUUCUGCAAACAUUCAUCAAUUUCAUUUAGUUUGUAUUGCAGCUUUGAUUCACUCGCACAGAUAAUUAUCGGUAUGCAAAAAAUGUAGGCAACUGAAAAUUUUCUAGUAAUUUUUACAAGGACUUUAUAUAUCUUAGUGAGUUAUCGCUCUUACUUUACUUUUACAUCUAUGAAUAUUCACUUCAUCAAGAAUUUAAGAUUUUGCAGCUUAAUUAUGAUUUUUCUUAGCUUUAGACUUGAAAUCGUAUGAUAAAGUUCACCGUAAUAAAUCAUAGGCCAUGCUCGCUGCAUCAAAGGAACGAGUUGAAAAAUACCCACACUGCUAUUUUCGUAUGUAUGUAAAAGUAAGAUAAUGAAAAGUGAUCAAUGCCAUAAUUCCAAUAAUGAAUACUAAAGAGUAGGGCAAACAUGGACCUCUGGGCUCAGUUACACGAAACUGAGUUAAGGCCAAAAAAUAUAUGUUGGUUUCCACUUUCCCUACCUACCCUGAAAAUUUCUGCCGACCCUAACACAUUUUUCCAUUCUAACUGAUUUUGCAAUUGUCAUCACUACAACAAGAGUAUAUUUAUUGACUUAUUUAUCAAGUUAUUUAUUAUGCACUUAUACUAGACAGAUUCCAAAACACAGAAACAGUUUUUCUUUACAGUAAAGUGAAGAAAUGUAUUGAUUCAUCAUAUAAAUUUUAUUUGAUUACAAAAUAAUCACUUUAUUUUAUGCAUUGUAGAAUACUAAAUCAUUAGAAAAUUAUUCAAGUGAAAGUGGAAACCAAUAGAUAUAUUUUUUUGGCCUAAGUUUAAUUGACAGUUAACGUCUAUAUAAAUGAAAAGUUAUCCGGCAAUGGUUACGUCUCGAUAUGAGUGAAACAUUCUCGAUAUACAACCAACAACCGCCUAUUAAAGCUAACUAACCGUCCUGAACACACUAGAGGCGGUUCUUAGGAGGAGCAAGCAUUGCAGUUGACAGUCACACCUGUCAUGAACCCUAUAACAUGUACAGAAUUCCUACUUAAUGAUUAUGGAAAGACUGUUCUAGAAUUCACCCAUUUUCACUUACAGAAAUAGAAAGUGGAAUAACUAUGUUUAGUUUUUUCCUAUAAGUUUUAACAAGUUUUAGCUGCCCUGAGUUAAUGUCUGUGGUAAAAUGAGCUUCACGCCUUAUUAAAAGUAUUAUAUGCCUGCCUUUAAUUUAAUUUUUUUUUACGUAUCUUUGAGAAUUAAUUCAAGAUAUGGGACUCACGGUGGUUGUGACCGGUUGACAGGGGAUGAUUACUCCCCCUUGGCACCUGAUCCCACCUCUAGUACAUCCAUGGGUCCGUGUUUGCCCAACUCUCUCUUUUGUAUUCUUUAUAGACGUUAUGAGAUUGAUCACUGUUCGUUAAUUUCACCUUUUCACGUAUUUAGAGACAUCGCCAACUAUGGGUAAAGUACUACAAAUUUAGACCUAACAUAUGACGAUCAGGGAUGUGAGGGUUCUUCAACGUGUAAAUGCCUACGUUUGACGUGGAUAUAAGCUGGACUAGAACUCACAAAUUGAAGCGAGCGCUUUAACCAUUGAGAUGUAAAAUGUGAUGGCUCCAAAAGAAAUGUAUUAGAAUGGUUGUACUGUGGAAACUAGUCAUUGUGUUGAUAAUCGAUGGAGUACAGAAAAAUGCAGUUAACUCCUGGAAAAUCAAGGUUAUUGAGAAAAAUACAAUUGAAAACUUGCCAGUAAAAAAUUACUCAACACCAACUGUUGGUAUAAGUACAAGCAAGACAAACAACAGAACCAAUUCUACGGAAAUUAGUACACUAUCUCAGAGCCUCCAGGUAGAGGAGGGAAGAAUGAACGUGGUCGUGGUAACUGCCGCAGUUGUGUGCCCCUUAGCUUUUAUUGUUUUGAUUUUAUUCAUCUUAAAGAAAACAAACAAGUUAAAUGUACUAACUUUGUCGGUGUUCAAAUUAUUCAACAGAGAUAGAUCUACGCCAGAGGAUGAACCGAUGGAGCUCAUUACAAGUAGUUAGUUUUGAAAUUUCAAUAUAUGAGUCGGGACGCUGAAUUUGUGGAAUACUAGAUCUAACAUAUGAUUGCUCCAAGAGAAGAGUCUUAGAAUGGUUCUACUUUGGACUGUAGCAUUUUUGCUGAUUAUCCUUGAAACACAGAAAAAUGUCGUUAACUCCCGGAAAAUCAUAGUUGUUAAGAAAAAGACAACUACUGAAACCUUGACAGCAACAAAUGACUUCACGCCCACUGUCAGUAUCAGCACAGACAACAUAGAUAAUGUAUUGAAUUCUACGGAAAUCAGUACAAACGAAUCUUCAAGACUCCGGAAAGGAAAUGGAGAAUGGAAUGUGGGCGUGGUCGUAGCUGUAGUCUCUGUGUGUUUGUUGAGUUUUACUCUGACUAUUAUAGUCAUCUUGAAGAGAACAGAUGGGUUACAUGUACCAUCCUUUUGUGUAUGCCAAUCGUUCAACAGAAACGGACCAGAGAACAAUGAAAAUAUCCCGAUGAAUACUUCUAGAGAUGGUGACUAGUUUUAAAUGUCUACCCGUAUAUUUUGAAUUGUGUAAUAUCAUGCACCUUCAAUGAAAAUUUGUAGAUAUUUAUACUCGGCAUUUUGAUGCAUUGCAUUUUGACGGAUUGUAUGUACUGUAUGCGCGAUGUAAUACAUUGACGCAGACAAUGUUUGUAGAGUUUGAUCCAUGUAUCACCUUGUAAUGGAACUGUAUAUUUUGUCAUCUUUGUGCAUUACGUUUUGAGUAACCUGUAUUUGGAGUGAAGUCUAUGAAUUACAUAUUGUUGAGGAUCUGAUUGUAAAAUCCUGCCUAGGUAUUUUACUGUGCAGAUAUAUGUAUGUUGCAUUCCAUGUAUACAUUACAAUGUGAAGGACCUUGUUGUCUUCAGAGGUUAUUGAUACAAAUAUAAUUAAGCAACUGAUUAUAAAAUUGAUUUUUUUUAAA